AACGCAUAUUGCACUCUUUGGUAUUCCGAAGAGUAUGCCUGUUUGAGGGUCAUUUGAAAAUUAAUCUAGAUAAUUUAUUGUCUGGGAAUUAAUGAAUUUUCCGUCAUCUUUUUGUUGAUGGUAAUUUGAAAUUAAUGCUAGGUCUUUGCUUGUAAAAGACGCGUUUAUGUACAUUGUAUAAUCUUCGCAACUAAUCAAGCUGUCUCUGCUAGUUUUAAUUAUCCAUUUUGAAAAGAAAGGAUAUUAAACAAUACUUUCUUAAAUAAUCGUGACCUCAAAUCAGGUAAGAAUACCCGCUGAACUUAA
rnacentral:misc_RNA from 1 species